rnacentral:rRNA from 1 species
CGUGUAGGCGGUCGAUCAAGUCGGGUGUGAAAGCCCUCGGCUCAACCGAGGAAUCGCAUCCGAUACUGGUCGACUGGAGUGCGGCAGGGGUAAGUGGAACUCCAGGUGUAGCGGUGAAAUGCGUAGAUAUCUGGAGGAACGCCGGUGGCGAAAGCGACUUACUGGGCCGCAACUGACGCUGAGGCGCGAAAGCCAGGGGAGCGAACG